CAAAAACCGGGACUGUCUGGUCACCAUCAUCGCGCUAGAGUCUGCAGCGCGAGCUCGAUUGUGCGUGAAUUGAAUCUGAGUUGCUAUAGCAACCCGUAGAUUCCAUCUGCAGCUAUAAAAGCCUGAAGUCCCAGGGUUCUGAUUGUUGGGUGUUUGAAGGCGAGACUCUCGAGACAGACUUUGAUGAGCGCAGAAAGUGAUUUCUGAAGGAGUUCGGAGCAUUUCUGUGGAGGAUAUUUUCUUUGAAUUGACUUUUUGAGAUUAUUUCUGAGGAGUAUUUUAUUUCUUUUAUUUGUUUUUGUUUGGUUUGUUUGGUCAUCUUUUCCUUUUCUUAUGUUGUGAAGGAGAGAUUUUUAGGAUAUUUUUGAUGGCUCAGUUCGGCGAAAGACGAGCUGCGGGCCGCUCCAGAUCCACUGCUGCUUUAACCCAGAUGGCUGCUGGUCAGGAGGCUGGGAGACAGUGUGGAGACCACAUUCAGAAAGCACUGUCCACCCCGACCUGGCCGUGGAGUCCAGAGCUGCCUGGCUAUAUCUCUCCUCUGCCUUCUGAGUCGACUCAAAGGAAGAGGAAGAGGCGGAGCUCGGAGGAUGAAGAUCCCUGCACCUCAGACGAGAGACCCGCCAAACGCUCUGCUGAAGGUCAGACUUAUUCUGAAGACAUCGCUGAAUUAAG
ensembl:lncRNA